UAAAAAGCUCGUAGUUGGAUUUUGGUUAAGAGGGCGCGGUCGGCCGUUUGGUCUGUACUGCGUUGUCUUGACUUCCUGAUGAGGACAUGCUCUUGGUUAACGCUGAGACAUGGAGUCAUCGUGGUUACUUUGAAAAAAUUAGAGUGUUCAAAGCGGGCUUACGCUUGAAUAUAUUAGCAUGGAAUAACACUAUAGGACUCCUGUCCUAUCUCGUUGGUCUCGGGAUGGGAGUAAUGAUUAAGAGGAACAGUUGGGGGCAUUCGUAUUUCAUUGUCAGAGGUGAAAUUCUUGGAUUUAUGAAAGACGAACUUCUGCGAAAGCAUUUGCCAAGGAUGUUUUCAUUAAUCAAGAACGAAAGUUGGGGGCUCGAAGAUGAUUAGAUACCAUCCUAGUCUCAACCAUAAACGAUGCCGACUAGGGAUUGGUGGAUGUUAAUUGAUGACUUCACCAGCACCUUAUGAGAAAUCAAAGUUUUUGGGUUCCGGGGGGAGUAUGGUCGCAAGGCUGAAACUUAAAGGAAUUGACGGAAGGGCACCACCAGGCGUGGAGCCUGCGGCUUAAUUUGACUCAACACGGGGAAACUUACCAGGUCCAGACAUAAGUAUGAUUGACAG
rnacentral:rRNA from 1 species